rnacentral:tRNA from 1 species
GGGUAUAUAGCUCAGUGGUAGAGUGCAGUGCUUAGCAUGCACGAGGUCCUGGAUUCAACCCCUGGUACCUCCA